GGCUCCCGGGGUGGAGCGGGGAUGGAGGCGCAGAGCGCCGCCUCACCCCCGCGGGUCCGUGCGGCCCUGGUCCCGGGGCACGGCGCUGCGGUUAGCCGGGGUGGGAGAGCAUCCUUCGACUCUAAAUCGCGUCAAGCCCUGGUCCAGUGCAGGCGGUAAGAGAUGGCAGGGACUGAGGCCCCUUCCCUUACCAGAGGCCAAAAAUUUUUCCUCCGAUUGGGCUAGUUCGCUCUUGGGGAAGACGUACACCUACAUGCAUCCUGUACCUCUCAUUUUAAAUCUCUCCGCGUUGACUCUUAAGGUGAGAAGCCUAUUGCCCAUCUCUCUUCUGUAAUAAACAGGUGUUCUGACCGGUCUAUCCUGCUGAUGGGAAAAUUAGGGGUGUGUGGGGUCCUAGGUUUAAGGGAAGACUGAGAGGAACGUUCUGGAUAGUCUUCCGACGCUAAGAACUCCAAAACUGCCUCCUCACACAUCUACUAAGGUCAACAUGGGCUUAUGCGUGUUAGGCAUUGUUGGGAUGGCGUUCACCAAUUCUCUGAUGUGGACGUUCUUUAGCCGGGGCCUCAGUUUCUCCAUGUCUUCGGCCGUUGCAUCUGUCACGGUGACUUUUUCAAACAUCCUCAGCUCGAUCCGUCCACUCCAGAGGGUCUGUGUGAACAGACCUAACGUGGUACAGAAUUAAGUGUUAGUUCCAGACGACAGAGAAGAAACCAGUGGAUCCCAAGAUGUUCACAGAGUCACAGAUUCCUGGGGCCUGGCCCACACCUAUCGUGUCAGAAUCUCCAGGUUGUGGAGUCUAGGAAUCUAUUAACAAGUCCCUCUAGUAAUUGUGAUGCACAGCCAGGCUGGGGAGCCCCAAUCUAUGACAUCUCCAUAGAGGUUGGGCUGCUGGGGUGUUCACGUGCCUGAGCCAUGACACAUGUAUGUUCUGAUGGACACACAAUAGGGCAGGCUGCAUUGUCUCAAGCCCCUGAAACACAGUCGUCUCCAUAAGCUUGGCCUAAAGUUCUUAUGUGUAAGCUGGGUUUUUGCUAGGACAUUUUCUCUGCUGUGGUCAGUAACGGUUUCUCUGAACCACUUUAAAGUUUUCUAGCAAUAAAGCUUCCUGCUCACGUUUCUGCUUGGACUAGCCCCCUUGCUAGGGCUGUACAGCUGUUUAGCCAGCCGUGGUGGCUCCUGGAUGUGGAAGCUGAGGUAACUGUUUUUUCCUUUGCCUGUGGCGCAGCUUCCGCCACAGUAGUCCUGACUCAGUGGGAGGCCAUGAGCCUAUUCCUAAGGGCCCUGAGUCAGGUGAGGGCUGAAGGGUGCAGGAAAGAAGGUCUUGCUGAAUCUUCUUGCCAACACAGCCUGGCAGAGAACUGUUUGGGUAGUUCCUGAAUUGGAAUCCUAGAGCUUAGAGACAUGGUCCUGGCAGUUUGGUCACCCCUUCUUCAUCUGGAAGAUGGAAACAGGCCAGAAAAGAGCAGUGCAUCUGUGUAUGAGACCUGCCUUGAGAUUGGGACGGGGUGGUGGUGGCGGUGCUUCUUCAUACACCCCACGUACGUCUGGGGCUUGACAAGCUGCCAGCUCCCCUGGCAGAGUUCGGGUCUUCUGAUGGAAGCAUGAGAGCCCUCAGUGCCUCGCUUAGCCUCUCUAAGCUGCUUUCCUCAUCGGUUCAUUGGUCGGGGUUGAGGCCAUGCUGCCGGGUGACUGGUGGGCACAGGCUCCAAGUAGUGAGUGCUCCUCUUUAAAAGCAUACUACAAGACUGAGGCCCAGAGCUGGAGUGAGGCCCUGGGACCCCGGACUGCCAGCCUGUCUCCUGGUGACCACAACCGAGUGGCUGCUGUCUCACUUCCCAAACAUGGAGGAAUUCUCACAUUAGAUGGGAGUGAAGCCCAACUGUGAAAAGCUGACCCACUCACUGUCCCUGGUUCUGAAGUCCCUGUGCAGCCCCGUUGUCUGGAGUUUGGGGUUCCUUGAGGCCAACAAGGUGGCGCUGGCUGCCCUGGGCUGAAGUUGAACCCAACCAGUCCCGGUGUAGAGUGAGGGAGGAUGCGGGAGCCAGGGCUUGGUCCGUGAACACCAUGCCUGCUGUGUGCUGGGUCUGCCUGCCAGCUCUGCUGGGUCAUUCUCAUGUACCAGGUGGGGGGCACAGCCCUCUGAGGAAGGUAGUGUCCCCUCUGCUACUUUCUGACCUGCCUGAAGGUACAGCUGGGUUUCAAGCCCAGGACUUCCAGCUCUGUGCCUUUCCUCCAGGCACCUUAGGAGGGAGGCCCACCCCAGGGGUGUGAGGUUGGGCCCACCCACCGUGGCACUCUCUUGGGCACUGUGUGUACCCUGCCUUACUUCCAUGUCUGUCCUCCAGGCUUUCCUGGGCUACGUGCUGUACGGAGAGUGCCAGGAGGUCCUGUGGUGGGGGGGUGUGUUCCUUAUCCUCUGCGGACUCACCCUGAUCCACAGAAAACUCCCGCCCACCUGGAAGG